rnacentral:tRNA from 1 species
AAGGCUUUAAGUUAAUAAAACUAAUAGCCUUCAAAGCUACAAAUAUAAGAAUAUAAUCUUUUAAGCCUUA